CUUUUCUAUAAAAAGGAUCCCUGUCCAUGCACUUAUCAUAACAGUUAGAUACCUCAAGUUUCCUUCAAGUGAGAACCUUUAACCAACUUUAGCCAUAAUUAUAGCACUGAUAUACUUAUUUGUUGGACACAAGGAGACGUAAUGAUGAUGGAGAAAGCAAAAAAUUUUUUUUCUUUCAAUUUAGAAAGUACUAGCUUCUACUCACCAAAGAACGAAGAAAAUAUUUGUCAAAUAGGUGUUCUAUCGCACACAGGUGCAAGCAGCUUUAACCGGUACAUCAUACCAAUCGCUGACUUUCACUUCAAAGCUAGUGAAACAAGUGGUUUUACUACAGGCUAUAGGGAUGGUAAGAAAGUUCUCCUACUGAAUCAGCAGGAAGUUGAGGACACUGUUAGUGAGUCUCAGGCUCUUUCUGACCUUGUUGCUUUUCUAAACACCAACUCUGAGCCUGGAUCUACAAUUUGUCUCAUUGGUUACAACAGCAGGGGACAUGAUGUUCCAUUUUUAACAAAGGCUUUUAUUGACUGUGGGAUUCCAAUGGUCAUAGAGGAACGCACUCUCGUCUUCUCAGAUGCUUUACCACUGAUAAGGAAAAUAGCUGAAGAUACAAAAGAUCCUCUUGGACAAAAACUAGCCACGUGUGAGAAUAAGAAGAGGCAAACAGUACACCGCAAAAUGUAUGGAAUUACACCAUGCAAUGAUACAGAUAGUCAUGAUGCAAUGAGGGAUGUCCAACAGUUGAAGGAGAUUACUGUUCAUCCUGAUUUCCCUUUUAACCAGCUUACUGACCACAUUGUACCAACUGAUGACCUGGUAGCAAAAAUUACAAAACCUAUAGCCCAGGAGUAUUUGAAACAAGAAAUUCCCUCCAAGCCUACUGAGGCAGAGGAAACCGCUAUUCAGAGGCAUGAGGUUCACAACAACCCCUCUAAAAAUACACGAAAGAGGAAACGCUCUAAUCAAGAGACGGAAAAUGAUUUUACUCCUGCAACAAUUAAAGAUAAUGAAACACAAUAAAGUUGACAAUUAAGCCUAUUGUACUUGGAACAGCCAAUUAAUAGAACAAAGUGAUACAUAUAAAACUAUAUAUAAUCAUGUGCUGCAAUAAAUUAACACCUAUACCUAUAGUAAUGUGUUUAUACUAAUUAUGCUGAUACUAUAAUUCAAGUGUAAUAAAUUUUUAUAUAUACUAA